ensembl:lncRNA
CUCUUCUCGUCUUGCCGUGUUCCCUGUCGGAUCGGCUUGUUCCUGCUGCGCCCGACUGCACGCAAGGCUUCAGUAUUAGCCUAUAUACAGCCUCAUUAAAAUACUGACAGUUAGAGGAUUUGGGGAAAAAAGAAAUGCGAUGGAGAGGAAGGAAAACCAAAGGAACAGAACUUUGGACCUAGAGCCUGUGCCAUGGUGUAACCCUCUGGGAAGCUCAGACCCACGCAGCUGGGGGGAACAAAACUGAAAGACAGAAGAACUCACGGUGAUGGCAAUUGAGUAGGUGAAGUGAAAGCCAUGCACACAAGCAAAACAAAAAAUGUACAUCUCUGAUUCACCAGUAAAUUCCUCAGAAUAGAAUAAAAUAAAAUAGUUCAGUUGAAAGGUACCUUUGAAGAUCGCCUACUCCUACUGUUGGACCUCUUCACGACUAACCAAAAGUUAAAGCAUGUUACUGAGGGCAUUAUUCAAAUGCCUCUUGAAUACUGACAGAAAUGAGGCAUCAAACAGCUCAUUAGAAAACCUGUUCCAGUGUUUGACCACCAUCAUGGUAAAGAAAUAUUUCCUGAUACUGUAAAGAAAAAAAUUGCAUUCUGAAGCUCCCCUGGCGCAGCUUUACAUCAUUCCCUCAUGUUCUGUCAUUGGUGACUGGGGCAGAGACUGACACCUCCCUCUGCACUUUCCCUCCUCAGGGAGUUGCAGAAAACCAGUUGGAAUCUUCUUCUUCAAACUGGACAACCCAAGUGCCAUAAACCUCUCCUCAGAGGACAUGCCCCCCAGUGCUUUUAUCAGCUUUGUUGCUCUCCUCUGAAUGUUUCAAGGGCCUUAACAUGCUUUUUAUAUUGUGGAAAUCACAACUGUACACAGUAUUCGAGGUGAGGCCACACCAACACUAAAUACAGCAGAAUUAUUUUUUUGAGCAACUGGCAAUGCUGUGCUUAAUGCAUCUGAAUGUCCAUUUUGUGAAGAGGCAGCUGAAAAAAAGGGUGACACUGACUCCAAAUAUAACCAUGACACUACUUUAGAACUGUUGGUAAAGGAAAAAAGUAGUUAUAGAUUAAGCCCAAUAUGAUAUUCUAAGCUAUUUUGCUUUAUUUCUGAUUUCCUAUAUUCUUAAUACAAGUAAUGUUCCUUGUUGCUUAAAGAGAGGUAAUUUCAAAGGAAGAGUCAAAAUCUUUAAUUCUCAGAUGUCUAAAUAAAUACUUGAACACAUACUAAGUACAUGUUACUGUAAAGAAAACAAACCAGAUCAUUUCCAAACGGAACAACUCUAAAUGUUUCAAAAUACACCAAGUUUUUCCUAUUUAUCCCAGCCAAAACAAUGUACUGGAUUGUAUCCAUUUUUCAGACUCUACAAUGGUUUUAAGCAUCCUGCAACUCAGUUUCCAGAUAUUUUGCUAUUUAUUGGAAGAAAAGAGAAUCUGAGAAAUGACACAAACUCAUCCAAAAAGAAAUAAAGAAAAUUAACCUUCUUCCAACUCUUUAACUAGGUUUUUAAUCUGAAGUAAGACAAAUUAAUCAGAAUCCUCAGACUGGCUAUCUCAACAGAGAUAAAUGGUACACUUUUGCUCUUCUUGUCUACUAUCAAAUCUUGUACUAGCAAGGGAGCUCUACACCAACCUCAUCAGAUCUGUCAGAUUUAUAAUGCCAUUGUUUGUCUUCAGAGCUCUCUCUACUCCUUCAGAAGUGAAGUUUUGAUUUUACUACAUAAUGACAGACGUACCAAAAUUAAAGGCUGUACAAAUUCAAAAUUUUUAAAGGAGAUUUUAUAAACCUCAAAAUGCACCUUCAUGUCUCAUUGUUAUACCAAAAACAAACAAACAAACAAACAAAAACAAAAAACAAAAAACAAAAAACAAAAAAACAAUCCAGAGCAAGCAGUUCCUGUCUAUUUCCAAAACAGAUUAUACCUUCAGUUUAGCAUGCCAUCCCUCUAAUUUCCUUCUAUUGCAAGUAUCCAAGUAUUGCAAGUAUAUCACAGUGUUUUCCAUAUUGUUGAAGUCUGAUUACAGCAGUGCUAGGGAUACAAGACAGGUAACAUUUAUUGCAUAUUUUAGUAUCUUUUAUUCAGACCAGCUGCAGGUAAAGUAAUCAAGUUCCUGGAGCACAAAGUCUGUUUUCAGUUUUUUAGGUGCUCUGGCUGGAAUAUCUUAGGUUACUUAGAAUCUUUAGUGAAAUCUCUGCAUCUUUCAUAUCAGACAGGGAUAUCUGUGCCUGACAUUGACUCUCAGAAUUUCGUAUGUUACUUAUGCUUUUGAAUCAAAUAGUUUUUCUAGAUAAGAAGAACAAACAGGUUACUACUUUCUCCUACUAAAUCCUAAAAAUGUACCAGCUCCUCUGUGUCUGUGUUACUGUCAUCCUUCUUUAGUUUUAGCUUUGAAAGGAAAGAGCCUUGGUUUUGUGUACUAUUAUAAAACAAUAUUUAUGAU